rnacentral:lncRNA from 1 species
GAGGAGGCUGGGAGAAGUUGAGAGAAAUGCUCAGACAGUAUGGGGGAGGAGGAGGCAAUCUGGAAAUCUUGCACUGAAAAAGGUUGGAACAUAUCUCUCUUCCACCUUCCUUCGUAAGGAGCCUCCACCAUUGGUCUGCUAUUUCUCCCCAACUUUCAGUCAGGGCUGUCUGAUGGAUUAAAUAGUGUCGUGAAUGUGAAAGAGCUCUAUACGCCAUUCAGUGCAAAGAAGAUAUGAA